CCACCUCAUCCCGCCCAGCAACCACAAACCCCAAAGCCCAAAGCCCUAGCACCGAGGCCAUUCCCCUCCGGCCGCCGACCCGCCGGCGAUGGCGCCCGCCCGGGCCGCCAAGCGCCCCAAGCUGGAGCGCCCCGCCGCCUCCGCCUCCGCCUCCACCUCCGCCGCGCCCCAUCAGCGGGGCGACGACGACUACGUGCCGGGCAACAUCGUGGAGAUCGAGCUGUGCAACUUCAUGACCUACGACCGCCUCGUCUGCCGCCCCGGCCCGCGCCUCAACCUCGUCGUCGGCCCCAACGGCUCCGGCAAGAGCUCCCUCGUCUGCGCCAUCGCGCUCGCCCUCGCCGCCGACCCCGCCAUCCUCGGCCGGGCCGCCAGCGUCAGGGCCUUCGUCAAGCGAGGGGAGGAGUCCGGCCACGUCCGCCUCUCCCUCCGCUCCGAGGACCAGGGCCGCGACAUCGACAUCACCCGCAAGAUCGACACCAACAACAAGUCCGAGUGGCUACUCGACGGUGCCACCGUCCCCAAGAAGGAUAUCAUCGACGUCAUCAAGAAGUUCAACAUCCAAAUCAACAACCUCACUCAGUUCUUGCCCCAAGAUCGUGUGUGCGAGUUUGCAAAGCUCACCCCCAUCCAGCUGCUAGAAGAGACCGAGAAGGCCGUGGGCGAUCCCAAUUUACCUGUUCAGCAUCGCCAGCUUAUAGAAUGGAGCAAGGAGCUCAGGAAUCUUGAAGUGGCCGUAAAGCAAAAGGAGCAGACCUUGAACAACCUCAAGGCCCUCAACGCCGAACAAGAAAAAGAUGUCCAACGUGUCCGCCAAAGAGAUAAGCUCCUCAAGAAGGCUGAGCUAAUGAAGAAGAAGUUGCCCUGGCUCAAAUACGACGCGAAGAAGGAGCAAUUCCAGAAGGUACAGGAUGAGGAGAAAAUUUUCAAGAAGAAAAUGGAUGAUGCAGCCAAGAUCUGGCAAGAUGCAAAAGCCCCUAUCGAAGGGCUCAAGAAAGAGAAAACGACAAUUACUUCAAGUAUGAAGAAGAUAACCAACCAAAUAAAUCAAAACACAAACAAGCGUCGGGAAGUUACAGACGACGAGAUUCAGCUGAGUGCACGAUUGAAAACCACGCUUGAUGACAUAGAAUAUCUGAAAAGGCAUGAAAAGAAUCUGCAACAAAAGAUCUCAAAGGCUAAGGAAGGUCUUGCUGCUGCUGAAAGGGAAUUUCAAGAUCUACAACCAUAUGAACCACCUAGAGAUGAAAUGACACAACUAACAAAUGAUAUUGGACAUAAAAUUUGUGGCAUAAACGAUCUAAAACUCAAACGGAAAGAGAAGGAGUGGCAGUUAUCACAAGAGAGAGAAAAUCUUAGGAAGUGUUCCGACAGGUUGAUGCAAAUGGAAAGUAAGAACAAUAAGUUACUCCAAGCAUUGCAAAGAGCUGGUGCUGAAAGAAUCAAUGAAGCAUACUCUUGGGUGCAGAACAACAAAAAUAUGUUCAGGGGAGAAGUUUAUGGGCCUGUUCUGCUUGAGGUCAAUGUUCAGAGUAAAACUCACGCUGGUUACUUGGAAAGCCAUGUUCCGAACUAUAUAUGGAGGUCAUUCAUUACACAGAAUGCUUCCGACCGUGACCUCUUGGUUAGACAACUGAAGCAAUAUGGUACUCCUAUUCUCAACUACACAGGGGCCAAUAGCAUCAUGGGUGAGCCAUUGAACAUUACCCCAGAGAUGAAGCAACUUGGGAUCACAUCAAGACUCGAUCAAGAAUUUGAUGCUCCUCCUGCUGUAAAAAAUGUUUUGAUUACUCAGGCUUCAGUGGAUCAAUCGUAUAUAGGUACAAAUCAAGCGGAUCAAAGCGCAGAUGAUGUGGUAAAGUUAGGUAUUAAUGACCUUUGGACUCCACGUAACCAUUAUCGAUGGACCAGAUCAAGAUAUGGUGGCUAUUUGUCAGCAAAUGUAGAUUCAAUCUACCCGUCGCGCCUCUUCAUGUGCGACGUGAAUGUUAGUGACAUUGAAAUGCUUCGAUCUGAGAAGGAUGAACAUACAAGAAAUGUUGAGGGCAUGGAGGAAGCCUUAAAAGAGCUCCAGAAAGAGCAGAGAAAAUUAGAAGAUGAAGAGGCAGAAUUCCGCAAGAAAAAGGAAGCGAUUACUGACAGGGUGAGGCUUGAAAAGAAGAAGCGAGAAGACAUACAAAGGCGUAUCGAUUUGAAAAGAAGAACUCUGGAGGACAUAUCAAAAGAGGAAGAUGUGGAGUCCAGCACAAGAAAGCUUACUGAUAAGCUAGCUAAGUUAAAUGAUGAUCGAUUUCGAGCAUUGCUAAAACUCAAGAAUUUACUUGUUGAAGCUGUUGCUCUCAAAUGGAGUUAUACAGAAAAGAACAUGGCUUCUAUUGAGCUUGAUACAAAGAUAUGGGAGAUGGAAAAGGAUGUGAAGAAACACGAAAAGGAUGUUCUUAGUGCUUCCAGAGACUAUGAAAACUGUAAAAGAAUCACUCAAGAGCAUAAGCAGCUGGUGCUUAAGGCAAAACAGCAUGCGGAGUCAGUAUCUAUGAUCACGGACAACCUUGCAAAAGAGUUUGAGAAGAUGCCGACCACCAUAGAGGAAUUGGAACUUGCAAUACAAGAUACUGAAUCAGAAGCAAAUUCUAUGCUAUUCCUCAACCAAAAUGUUUUGCAGGAGUAUCAAAACCGGCAACGUGAGAUUGAAUCAAUAUCAACAAAACUGGAAGAUGAUAAAGCAGAAUGUGAGAGGUGCUGCUCUGAAAUAGAAACUACAAAGGGUAAAUGGCUUCCAACUCUCCGAAGUCUUGUUUUAAAAAUAAAUGAUACCUUUAGUCGCAACUUCCAAGAAAUGGCUGUUGCUGGAGAAGUUUCACUUGAUGAGCAUGGUCUUGAUUUUAGUCAAUACGGUAUUCUUAUAAAGGUGAAGUUUAGGCAAACUGGUGAGCUGCAGGUGCUAAGUGCUCAUCACCAAUCUGGAGGGGAGCGGUCAGUUUCCACGAUCCUGUAUCUUGUAUCGCUCCAAGACCUGACCAACUGCCCAUUUAGGGUGGUUGAUGAGAUAAACCAAGGAAUGGAUCCGGUAAACGAGAGGAAGAUGUUCCAGCAGCUUGUGAGGGCGGCGAGCCAACUCAACACACCACAGUGCUUCCUGCUGACACCCAAGUUGCUGCCUGAUUUGGAAUAUAGCGACGCGUGCAGCAUCUUGAACAUCAUGAACGGUCCCUGGAUUGAGAAACCAGCCCAUGCUUGGCGCGCGGGAGAUAGUUGGAGAACGGUCAUUGGCCUGGGGCUGGCUGGGAACUGAAUUGAUUGACCCACCACUUGGAAGCUGCUGUCUGCUGCCUGCUGCCUGCUUUUGGGAUGUAAAUAUAGCUAGCUAGCUAGCUGAUUGCAUAGCUUUAUUAUUAUCAUUAUCCACAAUCGGAGUACUUAUUAAGUUAGUAGUAAUUCAGUUGAGUAUACUAGUCCCUCCGUUCACUUUUGUAAGUCAUUUCAGACAACUAAAAAUAGACUGAUUUGCACAUUGUCUGAAAUGUCUUCAAAGCCUUAUAAAAGUGAACAGAGGGAGUAGUAUUUAUCAGCAGUUGGUAAUUGGGUCGGUGUGAAUAGUUAAAUUAGGGGGGCUGUAAUCGGAGCAGGUAAGGAUGAUGUAUCUGAGACUAAACUUUUAUCCUUUUCAUUGACACAAGUUGUAGUAUCAACUAACUAGUUUGAGUUUGAGUUUGACUCUUGCUCUCUUCUUCUGCUUGUGCAAUAUUAUUAUUAUUAUUAUUUAAUAUUAUUAUUAUAAGAAGAAGCUA